rnacentral:rRNA from 1 species
GACGAACGCUGGCGGCGUGCCUAACACAUGCAAGUCGAGCGGUAAGGCCCUUUCGGGGGUACACGAGCGGCGAACGGGUGAGUAACACGUGGGUGACCUGCCCUCAGCUCUGGGAUAAGCCCGGGAAACUGGGUCUAAUACCGGAUAUGACUCCAUGACGCAUGUUGUGGGGUGGAAAGCCUUGUGCGGCUGAGGAUGGGCCCGCGGCCUAUCAGCUUGUUGGUGGGGUGANGGCCUACCAAGGCGACGACGGGUAGCCGGCCUGAGAGGGCGACCGGCCACACUGGGACUGAGACACGGCCCAGACUCCUACGGGAGGCAGCAGUGGGGAAUCUUGCGCAAUGGGCGAAAGCCUGACGCAGCGACGCCGCGUGAGGGAUGACGGCCU